GAUGAACGCUAGCUACAGGCUUAACACAUGCAAGUCGAGGGGCAGCGGGUUGAAAGCUUGCUUUCAAUGCCGGCGACCGGCGCACGGGUGCGUAACGCGUAUCAAACCUGCCUCAUACUCGGGGAUAGCCUUGCGAAAGUAAGAUUAAUACCCGAUGUUGUUGCUUUCCCGCAUGGGAGAGUAACCAAAGAUUUAUCGGUAUGAGAUGGUGAUGCGUCCGAUUAGGUAGUAGGCGGGGUAACGGCCCACCUAGCCUUCGAUCGGUAGGGGUUCUGAGAGGAAGGUCCCCCACACUGGAACUGAGACACGGUCCAGACUCCUACGGGAGGCAGCAGUGAGGAAUAUUGGUCAAUGGGCGAGAGCCUGAACCAGCCAAGUAGCGUGCAGGAUGACGGCCCUCCGGGUUGUAAACUGCUUUUAGUUGGGAAUAAAAAAAGGGACUUGUCCCUUCUUGUAUGUACCUUCAGAAAAAGGACCGGCUAAUUCCGUGCCAGCAGCCGCGGUAAUACGGAAGGUCCAGGCGUUAUCCGGAUUUAUUGGGUUUAAAGGGAGCGUAGGCGGAUUGUUAAGUCAGCGGUUAAAGGGUGUGGCUCAACCAUGCAUUGCCGUUGAAACUGGCGAUCUUGAGUGCAGACAGGGAUGCCGGAAUUCGUGGUGUAGCGGUGAAAUGCUUAGAUAUCACGAAGAACUCCGAUCGCGAAGGCAGGUGUCCGGGCUGCAACUGACGCUGAGGCUCGAAAGUGUGGGUAUCAAACAGG
rnacentral:rRNA from 1 species